rnacentral:rRNA from 1 species
GACGAACGCUGGCGGCGUGCUUAACGCAUGCAAGUCGAACGGAAAGGCCCUGCUUUUGUGGGGUGCUCGAGUGGCGAACGGGUGGGUAACACGUGAGUAACCUGCCCUUGACUUUGGGAUAACUUCAGGAAACUGGGGCUAAUACCGGAUAGGAGCUCCUGCUGCAUGGUGGGGGUUGGAAAGUUUCGGCGGUUGGGGAUGGACUCGCGGCUUAUCAGCUUGUUGGUGGGGUAGUGGCUUACCAAGGCUUUGACGGGUAGCCGGCCUGAGAGGGUGACCGGCCACAUUGGGACUGAGAUACGGCCCAGACUCCUACGGGAGGCAGCAGUGGGGAAUAUUGCACAAUGGGCGGAAGCCUGAUGCAGCAACGCCGCGUGCGGGAUGACGGCCUUCGGGUUGUAAACCGCUUUCGCCUGUGACGAAGCGUGAGUGACGGUAAUGGGUAAAGAAGCACCGGCUAACUACGUG